GGAUAGCUCAGUUGAUUGGAGUGUAGUGCUGAUAAUGCCAAGGUUGCAGGUUCAAUCCCUGUAUGAGACA
rnacentral:tRNA from 1 species